UUUUUCACGUAAAUUAAGCUUUUCUUCCAUCCCAUCGAUUCUGCGUGCGUCUUGUAGUAGUUACUUUAAUUCCACAUAAAUGACUCAAAAAUUUCACGUAAAAUGUAUGUGGAUGACCAAAACUCCUUUUGUAAUUAACUUUUCAUGAGCGUGUUUUUGUUUACGUUUUAAAUUCUAAUAAGAAAAUUUCUCAGGAAAUCAGUCAGGAGCUGAUAGCUUCCCGUCCCGGUCCACAAAUUUACGUCCCUAUUUUUUCGGUAUCGGUGGUCAUUUUCGGUUCCGUUUCGUGGAAUUACCAGCCGCUUCCACGUACUUGGGUGUGAGACUGAAUCAGCGGCGCGGCACCGGAAUUAAAACAAAGUGUUUUCUUGUUUCCCUCGGAACCAGCAGAAUAAAGUUAAAAAAAAAAAAGUUAAAAACUGAACGGCAUCCAAGUACGCACCGUCAGUACAAAGGGCAAACGGGAAGCUGCAUGAUGGUGCUGCUGAUGGGGCAUCCGGAUUCCCAGCCGAGCGAAGUGGCACUAGUAGUGAGGAUCCUGAAGGUAGCCAAAAUUGUUUUAUAAAUGAAGCAACCAUGUAAUAUGUUCAACGUCAAGUUCAACAUCAGUACUCCAGGAAACAAGUUCUCUGUAGAUGUAGAUCAGAAUUUCGAAAACCAAUUUGCGCUUAACAACGGCCGUCGGAUGAUUCAUGGAAUCCAUUGUUUGCAUGUUUUGGAGUUAAAAUAGUGGUUAGUGAAAAGUGGUUUAUUUGUAAUAAUAAAAGAAAAAUGAAAGAAACGAUAAAAUCAACCAAACAUCGAAUUAUUUUUAUUAGGCAAUCAUUUCAAAUUUAUUCCAAAACCAUUAAGAUUCAAGUAAACUAACAAUAACUUCCAUCGUUGAAAUGGCGUUGAACUCACUAAUAAUUCACGUAUGUUGUAGCUGAUGUUCAUUAUACACCAAUUCUAAUUAGGGGAGCGUUUACUUAUUUUAUCCGUAGAAUUUACGUGAAAAUCAAUUGGAUAAAAAUUAUGUAGUUUUUCACGUAGCCG